UGUUUUGUUUUUUUUUUUUUUUUUUUUUUUUUUUUGCUUCGAAUUCGCGCCA
rnacentral:ribozyme from 13 species